GUGGGGAGUAUUGGACAAUGGGCGAAAGCCUGAUCCAGCCAUGCCGCGUGUGUGAAGAAGGUCUUCGGAUUGUAAAGCACUUUAAGUUGGGAGGAAGGGCAGUAAGUUAAUACCUUGCUGUUUUGACGUUACCGACAGAAUAAGCACCGGCUAACUCUGUGCCAG
rnacentral:rRNA from 1 species